UCUAGUAUCAGGGUUGUAGGAUAGGGGCACCUAGAGUUUCUCGUCCGCUCCUCCCGGGGUUGGGGGUGGGGUAGCAGGGUUAUUCAUAGAUGAUAUGUAUUUACUGUACGAUACUAUUACUUGUUACUAUAUUUUCGUAUUUUGUUUCUUUUGUUCAGAUUAUUUCUAACGCUAUUUAUGCUGGAAUUUCUAUCGCACUAAUGAUAUACUGUUUCUGUUUUGUUUUGUUUCUAUUUGUUUUACUACUGUUUUUCACCUAACCCUAUGAGCCGAGGGUCGAUUGGAAACAGCCUCCCUGCCCUGUCGGGUAGGGGUAAGGCUCGUCUACAUUUACUACUGUUUUUCACCUAACCCUAUGAGCCGAGGGUCGAUUGGAAACAGCCUCACUGCCCUGUCGGGUAGGAGUAAGGCUCGUCUACAUAUUACCCUCCCCAGACCCCACCUGGUGGGAAUACACUGGGUAGUUGUUGUUGUUGUUGUUGUUG
rnacentral:lncRNA from 1 species